AUGAUUUUGGCUGUGAGUUUGCCAUAUCUGGCCUUUAUCAUGUUGAGGUCACUUUCUUUCUAUACCCAUUUUAUUGAGAGCUUUUAUCAUAAAUGGAUGUUGGAUCUUGUCAAAUGCUUUCUCUGAAUCUAUUGAAAUUAUCGUGUAUUUUUUGUUUCUCAUUUUGUUAAUGUGGUGUAUCACGUUGAUUGCUUUCUAGAUGUUGAACCAUCCUUGUGCCCCUGGUAUGAAUCCCGCUUGAUCACGGUGCAUGAUCUUUUUAAUGUAUUUCUGUAUUCAGUUCUGCCAAUAUUUUGUUCAAGAUUUUUGCAUUUAUGUUCAUCAGCUAUAUGGGCCUGUAAUUUUCCUUCUUUGUGUUGUCCUAAUCUGGCUUUGUUAUCAUGGUGAUCUUGGCCUCAUAGAUUGUGUUAGGAAUAUUUCCGUAUUGCUCAAUUUUUUCAAAUAGUUUGGGAAGAAUGGGUAAUAUAUCUUCUUUGAAUAUUUGGUAGGAUUCUGCUGAGAUGCUAUCUGGUCCUGGACUUUUAUUUUGGGGGAGGAUUUUGAUAACUGUUUUAAUCUUUUUACUUGUGAUUGGUCUAUUCAGAUUCUCUAUUCCUUCUUGAUUCAGUCUGGGGAGGUUGUAAGAUUCCAAGAACUUAUCCAUUUCUCCUAGAUUGUCCAGUUUGUUGGCAUAUAGUUUUUCAUAACAUUCUCUUAUAAUCUUUUCUAUUUCAUUGAUGCCCAUUGUAAUUUCUGCCCUUUCAUUUCAACUUUUAUUUAUUUGAGCCUUCUCGUUCUUUUUCUUAGUGAGUCUGGCUAAGGGUUCUGUCAAUUUUUUUUUUAUCUUCUCAAAGAACCAGUUCCUUGUUUCAUUGAUCCUUUGUACAGUCAGUUUUUGUUUCAAUUUCAUUUAUUUCUGCUCUAAUUUUUAUUAUUUCCAUCCUUAUGCUGACUUUGCCCUUUGUUUGUUCUUUUUCUAAUUCUGUUAGGUGCAGUUUAAGAUUGUUUAUUUGAGCUUUUUAUUAUUUGUUAACAUGGGCCUGUAUUGGUAAAAAUUUCCCUCUUAGGACUACUUUUGCUGUGUUCCAUAUGAGUUGGUAUGGUGUAUUUUCAUUCUCAUUUGUCUCCAAAUGUUUUUUGAUUUCUCCUUUCAUUUCUUUGAUAAACCAUUUCUUAUUCUGUAACAUGUUGUUUAGUCUCCACAUUUUUGUCCCUUUUUCUGCUUUUUUCUUGUGGCUGAUUUCUAGCUUCAUAGCAUUAUGGUUGGAGAAGAUAGUAUACAUGGUUUCAAUCUUCUUAAAUUUAUUGAGGUUCACCUUGUUUCCCAAUAUUUGGUCUAUCCUUGAGAAUGUUCCAUGUGCACUUGAAGAAAUUAUACUCUGCUGUUUUUGGAUGGAGUACUCUCAAUACAUAUCUAUUAAUUUCCUCUGGUAUAGUCUUUUGUUUAAUUCCACUAUCUCCUUGUUGACUUUUUGUCUGGAUGAUCUACAUUGAUAUAAGUGGGGUGUUGAGGUCCCCUACUGUUAUUGUGUUGUUGGUAAUAUCUCCUUUUAGGUUUGCUAACAGUUGCCUGAAGUACUUUGGUGCUCCUGUGUUGGGUGCAUAUAUGUUUAUAAGUGUUAUGUCCUCUUGCUGGAGAGUCCUUUUUAUCAUUAAAUAUUGCCCCUCUAUGUCUCUCUUUACCUGUUUUAUCUUGAAGUAUACUUUGUCUGAUAUAAGUAUGGCAACACCUGCUUUCUUUUGUUUGCCCUUAGCUUGGAGUAUCAUCUUCCAUCCUUUCACUCUGAGCCUAUGUUUUUGUUUAGAGAUGAGAUGUGUUUCCUGGAGGCAGUAUAUUGUUGGGUCUUGUUCUUUAAUCCAUCCUACCACUCUGUGUCUUUUUGAUUGGAGAAUUCAGUCCAUUUAACUUACAUUUAGAGUGAUUAUUGAUAUAUGAGUGCUUAAUCCUGCCAUCUUAUUGCAGGGUUUCCUGUUUUUCUGCAUAUCCUUUAUUUAUUGUCCCAUGUAUAUCAGGUUACUGAUUGGAUUAGGGUAGUUUUCUAUGUUGGAUUUCUUCAUUGUCUCCUGUUUAUCAUAGAAGGACACAGAAAUUUAGAGCUUCUCUAUAGGGAUAUUAUCAAUGAUCAUCCUAAAGCUUGGACACACUAGCAGAUGUAUGACUUUGUAGGAAAAAAAUUUGCAUAGUCUCUUAGAUCUGCCCUCCUGACAAAGGACUGCAUCUCUGAGGAACACCACUUUUCCUACAACACUAGUAACAGCCAAGGCAGGAAGGGGUGGAUCCAGGAGAUCAGACAUUGAUUGAGAUCCCUCUGUCUUACUUAUGCCCUAGUAAUGCAGGAAGAUAAGAGGUGGGGAGAGUCCUAAUAUGAGGUCCUGAUGGGAGGUGUGUGUGAAAGGAGAGUGGAAGUAGGAAUGAAUGAAGAAAACUUGAUUUCUCUCUCCAACUUUAAAGGGGAAUAGGCCAAUGGAAAGAGAAAGAGUAAGUUAGAGGGGAUGAGGGAAUGGUGGACACAGACAGAAUAGGAGAGAAUUAAUUCAGAGUGUGUUGGCUGAACCACCUGAAGCUUAAAUAGAUAUCUUCCACCAUAAGCUAUGAAGGUAAAAAUAAACAGACUUAAGAGGAAAAAGAAGAAAAGAAAAGGUACUUACUACAAAAAUUGCAUAUCUUAGGUAGGAUGGUAUUGAAACACUUUCUGUAAAAAUUCUGGAUCUAGUUGAAAUGAAUAAAGUGAAAGAAAGCCACCAAUAAUCAUAUCCCAAUCCCAGUGUAGACUAGGCUUUACUUUUGAAAAGCAGCUGGGGUUAUCUAAACUGCACCCUGAGAUUGGAAAGUGGAUGAACAGAGAGAGAAAAAUCAGACAGAUCAUCACAGAAACAUCUCCACAAAUUACAGCCCAAACCCUAAUUCUGUGGUGAGGGAACAGGCAGAUCUGGGAGGAAGUUAGCAGCUGGGCCUCUGCCAAGAAAUAAAAGUCAAUGCCUCACUUCUCCUCCUCUGAGGAAGCAUCAUGGAAUGGGUGUUUGGGCCAAUAUCAAAGGCCAGGUCAAACACGAGUGCACAAAGUAAAUAUGGACAUUUCCAGGUCUUAGGGGACACCUUCAAUGUCCUUGUUGUAAAUUAGGGAGGCGUCAUCCCUCCCCUCAGCCAGUUGGGACUUGGGGACCAUCUUUAACCUGAGGCUGUACAUGUGGGUCUCUGUGCUCAAGUGAAAAAAAACAGAAAAAAAGUUUGUAUGUCACCCACUGUAGCCCAAGGCCACAUGAUUUCAUCAGAGCCCCUGGAGAGCACCCCCAAAGACCUUCCUCUUCUGAAGCAAAGGAUAAUUUCAACUGUGUAAGUAUGCCAAAUUGACACCAUCAUCAAUAGACCCCUCAUUUCAGUGUUGGGCAUCAUGUAAGAUAGUUCCAACAUCAUGCUUCUCGAAAGCCAAGGUAGAAGGAUCCUUCUGGGUCUGUGCCUCCUUCACAUAUCCAAGGCCCACAGCAGUCAUGAUUGUGCCCUAUAAGGCCUCCCAAGGGCCUCUAAACUUCCCUGUGCUUUAGAUUCAUGGGCAGGUCCAAGGAAUCCUUCCUGAGGAAAUGGCAGUCAGCUGAAUGUUACUCAGCCUUACAGAGGAAGCAAAUUAUGACACAUACUGCAACAUGGAUAAACCUUGAGGACAUUAUCCUAAGAGAAAUGGGCCAGUGACAAAAGGAUAAAUGCUGUAGGACCCCACUUAUAUGAGGUGCACAGAGGAAAGGCCAUAUGAGCACACAGAGGGAAGGUGGCCAUCCACAAGCCAAGAGAAGAGGGCUCAAAAUGAAACCAAUCCACCUGGAGCCUGGAUCUGGGGCUUUUAGCGUAUAUAACUCUGAGAAAAUAAACUUGUGUUGGUUAGACCGCCUAGUGUUUCAUAUUUUGUUACAGCAUCCUGAGCUGACUAAUUCAUCUCAUAUGGGCACAUUCCUUGUUAGGAUUCUCUUACAGAGAAUAUCUUUCCAAGAUGAAAUUAAAGGGAAGUGAAUUCUCUCUUCAUUUCUUAAAAAUCACAAUGUGUAUCUGGGGAAUAAGAAAUUGUGGAAAAACAAGGUGAAAUCCCCCAGGGGAAUGAGUUCCAGCAAUUCUCAUGACACACAGUGUGGCCUAACUCCCUAGCUUGUUGUUUUAUGUGCCCGGAGAAUCUGAAGAACAAGGCCAUCUGGAUCUCUAGACUUGAGUGCUGCUUUCCUGGAAUCCCCCCUUGGAGCCCAGCCAUGUUGCAGGCUGACCCCAACCACCUGGAGGAGCCACCUGGGAGCACUGUGGUCCAUAGCCCCAACUGAGCUCCAGCCAGGAGUUAUUGCAUCUUCCAACAGGAUUCC
rnacentral:lncRNA from 1 species